rnacentral:tRNA from 1 species
GCUGAUGUAGCUCAACGGUAGAGCAGCUGAUUUGUAAUCAGCAGGUUGGGGGUUCGAUUCCCUCCAUCAGCUCCA